CAUUACCGAGUUUACAACUCCCAAACCCCUGUGAACAUACCUGUUUUGUUGCUUCGGCGGUGCCCUCGCUCUUGUGGCGAGGCCCGCCAGAGGACCCAAACAAACUCUUUGAUUUUGAUCUAGGAUUUUACUUCUGAGUGAUAUACAAAAUAAAUCAAAACUUUCAACAACGGAUCUCUUGGUUCUGGCAUCGAUGAAGAACGCAGCGAAAUGCGAUAAGUAAUGUGAAUUGCAGAAUUCAGUGAAUCAUCGAAUCUUUGAACGCACAUUGCGCCCGCCAGUAUUCUGGCGGGCAUGCCUGUUCGAGCGUCAUUUCAACCCUCAAGCUCCGGCUUGGUGUUGGGGAUCGGCAGCCCGGCUUCGCGCCGUCGCCGUCCCCCAAAUGCAGUGGCGGUCACGCUGUAGCUUCCUAUGCGUAGUAGCACACCUCGCACUGGAAAGCAGCGCGGCCACGCCGUAAAACCCCCAACUUUUUGUGGUUGACCUCGAAUCAGGUA
rnacentral:rRNA from 1 species